rnacentral:rRNA from 1 species
GCACAAGCGGUGGAGCAUGUGGCUUAAUUCGAUGCAACGCGAAGAACCUUACCUGGGUUUGACAUGUACGGAAAUCUGGCAGAGACGUCAGGUCCGCAAGGGUCGUACACAGGUGGUGCAUGGUUGUCGUCAGCUCGUGUCGUGAGAUGUUGGGUUAAGUCCCGCAACGAGCGCAACCCCCGUCGCAUGUUGCCAGCAUUUAGUUGGGGACUCAUGCGAGACUGCCGGUGACAAACCGGAGGAAGGUGGGGAUGACGUCAAGUCAUCAUGCCCCUUAUGUCCAGGGCUACACACGUGCUACAUUGGCGCGUACAGAGGGUUGCGAUACCGCGAGGUGGAGCGAAUCCCUUAAAGCGCGUCUCGGUUCGGAUUGCAGGCUGAAACCCGCCUGCAUGAAGGCGGAGUUGCUAGUAAUCGCGGAUCAGCACUGCCGCGGUGAAUACGUUCCCGGGC